UGGGGAAUAUUGCACAAUGGGGGAAACCCUGAUGCAGCGACGCCGCGUGAGCGAAGAAGGUUUUCGAAUCGUAAAGCACUGUCCUAUGGGAAGAUAAUGACGGUACCAUAGGAGGAAGCCCCGGCUAACUACGUGCCAGCAGCCGCGGUAAUACGUAGGGGGCAAGCGUUGUCCGGAAUCACUGGGCGUAAAGGGUUCGCAGGCGGAAAUGAAAGUCAGUUGUGAAAGGCAGAGGCUCAACCUCUGUAAGCAAUUGAAACUGUAUUUCUUGAGAUGUGGAGAGGCAAGUGGAAUUCCUAGUGUAGCGGUGAAAUGCGUAGAUAUUAGGAAGAAUACCGGUGGCGAAGUCGACUUGCUGGACACAAACUGACGCUGAGGAACGAAAGCGUGGGUAGCAAACAGG
rnacentral:rRNA from 1 species